CUUGUUCUAGAAAAAAAAUAUAUAUUUUUCAUAAUAGGACCAUCUAUGUCCCAAAGUUGUUUUUGCUAGAUUUUGGCACCAAUUUAUAGAAAAUUGAAAAUCGGUUGAACGUGAGUCUUGGCAUACCUAAAGUCCUCCACGGGAACGAUAGUAUUCACUUUAGGAGAAGCUGUUUGGACUAAGGUUUGCCUUACCGGUGCAUACUUUCUCAUACCGAGCAAUGCAUACUUUACCCAUAUCGAGUUGUCAGCUUGUGUUAGGUUGUGCUCUUUGCUGUCAUGAGCCUAGCUCCAACAUUUCCUCCAAGACUCCCACCCUUGAUGUUGACAUUGUCGGCCAUCAACAACAUCCAUAUUCUUAUCCUCCCUCCCUCUCUCUCUCUCAUUCGCCUCUCACCUUCCCUCAUCUUCCUACUGACCACUACAUCCCACCACUUCACCUCCACAUUCUACCCCUCCUUACGUGACCUUGCCCCACUGCUUGAAAAGCAAGGAAAAAAAUUAAUCCAAACAGGGACUACAGAGUGAGGUUUUCCCUGCUUAUGGCAUUUAUGUUGGUAUCUUGCAGGAUGAAAUCUAGCUUCCUUUUGAACCACAAACCGUGGCUUCCUGAUUGGUUGAUUCAUUCGGUGAUCACUGUCAUAGAAUUUAUUGACCUGGUAUCCAAGUUUCCCAAAGACCUUAUGGACAGAUAUAGUUUUCUAGUUCUCCUCUAGUUUUUCUUCAGCAUAACUGUAACAGAAAAUGACACUCAAAUACACUCCAAAUGACUGCCGUUAUUCAUCUGGUAUAAUAUUACAGGAUGUAACCUUGUGAUCCCAAGCAGCAUGCAUUUGCACCAUCAAAUUUUGUUGUCCUUGAGGUUUAAUUGGUCCCCAUUGAUUUGUGCUCUCAGCCAUUUUAUUGUACCAUGGAUAUGUUGAUGUGUAACCUAUUCAUUUUUUAUAUCCAAAUCUUUGAUAUUCUUUAAAGAAUGUGUUUGGUAUCUUGCAGUAGUUGAGGACUCUCGAUAUUUUUGCCAGUUGUCUGGAUGUCUCAACUCUCAACUUUUAAUGACUGAGGUGAAGUACAUUGGGCCUUUCAAAGUUUCUCACCUGCUUGAGUGAAAAAGAGGUGGUCUGCAGAUGUUCAUCAAAGCUUAUGCUUGAAAUUAUUUUGUUAAUAAAAUCGGGGUGGGUUAGAAAUGGUGUAUCAGAAGCUGUUAAGAUUGUUCUUAUGUCUUUUUUUUGAUGUAAAAAGAUUAUUCCUACAUGUCUUGUGACUAUUGGCAGACAUUGGAUUGCAGUUUGGAGAUAUAUUUGCAAGAGAAUCAUUUAAGGUGGUUUGGAUUGUGCAACAGAUGAAGGUAAAAACUGGAGGUCUGUGCUUCAUCAAAUGGAACGGGCUUGAGUAAUGAUCUUUUUCAGCCUAGGACCUGGUAGUGCACUGAUACCAUGAAGCCUAGCUACUGAGUAGCAGCUGCUACUUCAUGAAUUUUCCUCUUAAAUUUGUCUGUAAUCAAUCUUUAUGCCUAAAAUGGUUUUCCUAAAAGACUUAAUGCAUAUGAAUGAGGUUUUCAAUUAA